AGUAACACUCUGGGAGGGCUCAGGCCACAUCACGAAAUGUGACAGGAUAGCCUUGAACUCAUCAAUUGCUGGGGGCACCUCAAACUCAACUCCAAAAUUGAUCUAAUGAACUUUCCCAAACCACAUUCCCUUCUUGCAUUUCUGAGAGAAUGGAUUCCCAUUCAUCUGACUACAGUGCUACCCUGAAAGCAGAUCCAGAGACUAAGAUUCACCUGCAGGUGAUUCAUUUGCAAGGUAAGCUGUCAUCAGUUGGAGGUAAGCAGAAGACAGUAGAGAGUACAGAGCCCUGGACUGUGACUCAGAGGAUGAGCACCAGAUCCAGUUUGCUGUGCCACAGUGCCUUCUCCAAAGUCACUCACAGAAGGCAUCCCACUCAACCUCACCUUGGGGUAAAUCAAAAUAGUCCUCCUUCUGAAGCUACCGGGUAAAACGGUGGUAGCUGUGCAGCUGCUGCUGAUCAACAGGCUCCAGAAACAGCAGCAGGAGGUGAGCAGUCCCUGCGUUGGCCACCAAGUGGUAGGUGGCCAGCCCUACCUC
rnacentral:lncRNA from 10 species